AUAUCACAAAGUUGAAAACUAAACUGUAUUUUAAGAAUUUAAAUCAAUGAAGCUACCUGGACGUAUGAUUUUUUUUGUGCAAGAGUUGGUGAAGUUGAAGAAAGAUUCAAAUGCAUGGAAGAUUGUAAAAAACCCAAAUGCUAAGAGUAAUAUUGCAAUGAUUCGUAGCAUAAUGGAUGGUUGCUCGACUGAAGCAAGGAAGUGUUCAACCACCUAGUGUGUUGAGUAGUGUUAACUAUUUUGGGCUUUUAUAGUUUUGGGCUUUUAUAAUUUUGGGCUUUGACUUAAGGUCCAAGUUAACCUAAAUCUAUAAAUAGAGGGAGUAAGCCUUAUUUUGUAACAGAGGUGAAUAGAGUAUUCACAACAUAUUGUAUUCAUAGUAUUCUCCUUCAUCGUUCUUUACUUUCUUUCUUUCUC